rnacentral:rRNA from 1 species
CACGUAGGGUGCGAGCGUUGUCCGGAAUUAUUGGGCGUAAAGAGCUCGUAGGCGGUGUGUCGCGUCGGCCGUGAAAACCUGCAGCUUAACUGUGGGCUUGCGGUCGAUACGGGCAUCACUGGAGUUCGGCAGGGGAGACUGGAAUUCCUGGUGUAGCGGUGAAAUGCGCAGAUAUCAGGAGGAACACCGGUGGCGAAGGCGGGUCUCUGGACCGAUACUGACGCUGAGGCGCGAAAGCGUGGGGAGCAAACAGG